AAACUAACAGGGUAAACACCAUGAUCAUGAAGGUGGUUUUCCCAGGGCGAGGCACAUCCAUUGCACUUUGGGGUGUGCUGACCCCUGAUGUCAUCGAGGAAUACUUCAAAUUAAAGAAAUGAACAAAUAAAAAGUUUGCCUCAUUU
rnacentral:snRNA from 1 species